CCAUCCCUGCUGUGUUCGUUAGUGGCUGACUAAAUGAACCAAUAAUGGUAUGAAGGGAGCCUGACUUCUAGAUGUCCCAGGACAUCUUAGAGGGGUACCCACCUAUAACACAGGUUCACUCCUAUACUAAGGCCCGACGGCAAUAGCGGGGAUUUC
rnacentral:other from 1 species